rnacentral:lncRNA from 1 species
GAAAGAACACGUCAAGGAGUGGACCACUGUCACAACACCACUGAAUAACAAUCAAGGAAGGCAGAAUUUGAAAACACCUUUUUCAAGGUAUACCAGGCAAAGUUAGAGCCAGACUAAAAUAUGUUGCAUCCUGAUUCCCAAACCUGCUAAUGACCUGACGAGUUCAUUUGACUAUGGCUGAAGCAUAUAUUCCUGUUCCACAGAACUGUAUCCGAGAAGCAGCAAGGUGCCCAGAGAUGUGAUAAAGGACUGCUCGACUCCGUCUCCGGGCUGAGUCAAAGUGGG